rnacentral:rRNA from 1 species
AUUGAACGCUGGCGGCAGGCCUAACACGUGCCAGUCGAACGGUAACAGGAAGCAGCUUGCUGCUUCGCUGACGAGUGGCGGACGGGUGAGUAAUGUCUGGGAAGCUGCCUGAUGGAGGGGGAUAACUACUGGAAACGGUAGCUAAUACCGCAUAAUGUCGCAAGACCAAAGAGGGGGACCUUCGGGCCUCUUGCCAUCGGAUGUGCCCAGAUGGGAUUAGCUUGUUGGUGGGGUAACGGCUCACCAAGGCGACGAUCCCUAGCUGGUCUGAGAGGAUGACCAGCCACACUGGAACUGAGACACGGUCCAGACUCCUACGGGAGGCAGCAGUGGGGAAUAUUGCACAAUGGGCGCAAGCCUGAUGCAGCCAUGCCGCGUGUAUGAAGAAGGCCUUCGGGUUGUAAAGUACUUUCAGCGGGGAGGAAGGGAGUAAAGUUAAUACCUUUGCUCAUUGACGUUACCCGCAGAAGAAGCACCGGCUAACUCCGUG